rnacentral:rRNA from 1 species
AUGUUUCAACAAAUGCCCGUAGGAUCUGAUUAUGACAGCAUGGAGGAUGACGAGGAAGCGAGAAUGUCUAGCGCUAAACCUAUCGAGAUUGAUCCAUUUGACUUUGUCUACACAAACAUCCCAGACAGCACUCACAUCCUGAAGCACGCCGCAAACUGCGACCACUGCAAGGCCAGAAAGUUUGAGUCUGAGACUGACGGGUUCUGCUGUCGCAAUGGCCAAAUCGAGCUCAAGAAACUGGAACCAAUCCCAGAGCUGAUGAAGCUAUGGUCCAGCAUGGAUGCAGAUUCUAGACAUUUUCGGGAGAACAUACGGUUCUUCAACGGGCAUUUCGCCUUCACAACCCUUGGUGUCAGCCUUGAUGAAAACUACACAAACAUGAAGUCUGGGGUGUACACAUUCCGGGCACACGACACCAUCUACCACAAUGUGCAUUCGUUCGGGCCUAGGUCCUGCCCAGAACAUCUGCAGUUGUACUUCUACGAUGAUGACCCAAUCCUAACUCAUCGUAAGGCUGCCACCAAGCAAUUAGACCAGGAUGUCGUUAAGAAGUUAGUGGACAUACUCAAAGAAAACCCAUACUACCGGCAAUUUAGGAGUUUGGGUGCACACAAGGACAACCUCAAUGAUUAUAGGAUAGACCUAAAGACCGAUCAGAGGCUUGACCAAAGAAGAUAUAAUAGACCGGUGUCAUCUGAGGUCGCUGCAAUUUGA